GAUGAACGCUGGCGGCGUGCCUAAUACAUGCAAGUCGAGCGAACAGACGAGGAGCUUUCUCCUCUGACGUUAGCGGCGGACGGGUGAGUAACACGUGGAUAACCUACCUAUAAGACUGGGAUAACUUCGGGAAACCGGAUCUAAUACCGGAUAAUAUAUUGAACCGCAUGGUUCAAUAGUGAAAGACGGUUUUGCUGUCACUUAUAGAUGGAUCCGCGCCGCAUUAGCCAGUUGGUAAGGUAACGGCUUACCAAGGCAACGAUGCGUAGCCGACCUGAGAGGGUGAUCGGCCACACUGGAACUGAGAAACGGUCCAGACUCCUACGGGAGGCAGCAGUAGGGAAUCUUCCGCAAUGGGCGAAAGCCUGACGGAGCAACGCCGCGUGAGUGAUGAAGGACUUCGGAUCGUAAAACUCUGUUAUUAGGGAAGAACAAAAGUGUAAGUAACUAUGAACGUCUUGACGGUACCUAAUCAGAAAGCCACGGCUAACUACGUG
rnacentral:rRNA from 1 species